ACACGGAGGGGGCUAGCGUUGUUCGGAAUUACUGGGCGUAAAGCGUACGUAGGCGGACUGAUCAGUUGGGGGUGAAAUCCCAGGGCUUAACCCUGGAACUGCCUUCAAUACUGUCAGUCUUGAGUUUGGGAGAGGUGAGUGGAAUUCCUAGUGUAGAGGUGAAAUUCAUAGAUAUUAGGAGGAACACCAGUGGCGAAGGCGGCUCACUGGCUCGAUACUGACGCUGAGGUACGAAAGCGUGGGGAGCAAACAGGAUUAGAAACCCCAGUAGUCC
rnacentral:rRNA from 1 species